AGAGUUUGAUCAUGGCUCAGAUUGAACGCUGGCGGCAGGCCUAACACAUGCAAGUCGAGCGCGAAAACACUUCGGUGUGAGUAGAGCGGCGGACGGGUGAGUAACGCGUAAGAAUCUACCUAGUAGUGGGGGACAACUCGAGGAAACUCGAGCUAAUACCGCAUACGCUCUUAGGAGGAAAGUGGGGGAUCUUCGGACCUCACGCUAUUAGAGGAGCCUGCGUUAGAUUAGCUUGUUGGUGAGGUAAAGGCUCACCAAGGCGACGAUCUAUAGCUGGUCUGAGAGGACGAUCAGCCACACUGGAACUGAGACACGGUCCAGACUCCUACGGGAGGCAGCAGUGGGGAAUUUUGGACAAUGGGGGCAACCCUGAUCCAGCCAUUCCGCGUGAGUGAAGAAGGCCUUCGGGUUGUAAAGCUCUUUCGCAAGAGAAGAAAACUUACUAUCUAAUAAAUAGUAAGUAUGACGGUAUCUUGACAAGAAGCACCGGCUAACUACGUGCCAGCAGCCGCGGUAAUACGUAGGGUGCAAGCGUUAAUCGGAAUUACUGGGCGUAAAGCGUGCGCAGGCAGUUUUAUAAGUCAGAUGUGAAAUCCCCGAGCUCAACUUGGGAACUGCGUUUGAAACUGUAAGACUAGAGUGUGUCAGAGGGGGGUAGAAUUCCAAGUGUAGCAGUGAAAUGCGUAGAGAUUUGGAGGAAUACCAAUGGCGAAGGCAGCCCCCUGGGAUAACACUGACGCUCAUGCACGAAAGCGUGGGGAGCAAACAGGAUUAGAUACCCUGGUAGUCCACGCCCUAAACGAUGUCUACUAGUUGUUGGUGGAGUAAAAUCCAUGAGUAACGCAGCUAACGCGUGAAGUAGACCGCCUGGGGAGUACGGUCGCAAGAUUAAAACUCAAAUGAAUUGACGGGGGCCCGCACAAGCGGUGGAGCAUGUGGUUUA
rnacentral:rRNA from 1 species